rnacentral:rRNA from 1 species
GGAAUAUUGGACAAUGGGGGCAACCCUGAUCCAGCCAUGCCGCGUGCGUGAAGAAGGCCUUAGGGUUGUAAAGCGCUUUCACUGGUGAAGAUGAUGACGGUAGCCAGAGAAGAACCCCCGGCUAACUCCGUGCCAGCAGCCGCGGUAAUACGGAGGGGGCUAGCGUUGUUCGGAAUUACUGGGCGUAAAGCGCACGUAGGCGGAUUUGUAAGUUGGGGGUGAAAGCCCAAGGCUCAACCUUGGAAUUGCCUUCGAUACUGCAUGUCUAGAGUCCGGAAGAGGUGAGUGGAAUUCCUAGUGUAGAGGUGAAAUUCGUAGAUAUUAGGAAGAACACCAGUGGCGAAGGCGGCUCACUGGUCCGGUACUGACGCUGAGGUGCGAAAGCGUGGGGAGCAAAC